rnacentral:lncRNA from 1 species
ACGGAGCAGUAAGGGGUGUAUUCAACACAGAACAGGGGGUGCUUGCUGCUGCCACCUGCACAAAAGAAAAAGAGCAGUCAGGAAGCAGCACUGGCGGUGGGGGGAAGGACAUAGAAACGUCUGCGAAUGAAUCCAAACUCAAAAAUUGUUCUCCAAUGUCAUAGGAGCAGCAGGCCUGGCUCCUGCCCAGGAGGCACCUGGCCUAGAUCUCAGCGUCACUGCGGAGUUAACCAAGGGAAGCGGCACCAGCAUCACACCCUGUUCCAGCCAACAGUCUCCAGCGUCCCUGACAGAUGUCGGGAAGUUCUUUUCCCCGUAAGAUCCCGGAGAAUGUCCUGAGGCUGCCGUGUGGAAGCUCUGGGGCCUUUCUCGUCUCCCACUGCCAGCUUAAUGAGCUGUGCUGGUAGCAACAGAUGGCGCCCCGCAGGGUCUCACUUGGAUAGCUUGGAAAGUUCCUGGACACCAGUUGGACUUGCCGCGAAAACCAUUAAUCUGGCCUUUCAGAGAAAAUCUUCAGAAGAAUGUAUUUGCAAGUAAAUGCAGUGAGAACGUGUUCUCAGUCCUUGAGGCUUGUGCAUUUGGAACGACGUCCUUUCCAGUGAGGAUACAGGAUCUUGGAAAGAUGAGAAGGGCCCGUGAUGUGUUGCUUUCUAGAAGCUUGCGGCUUACCAUGUCCUGCGCCAAUUAAUCAUUUUCAUCAUCUUCUAUGGGGAAAUCGGGGCUCCUGUCCCCUCUCUGUGAAGGUUCGUGGGGACAAAAUUC